UACGAAGGGGGCUAGCGUUGUUCGGAAUUACUGGACGAAAGCGCACGUUAGGCGGAUAUUUAAGUCAGGGGUGAAAUCCCAAGAGCUCAACUCUGGAACUGCCUUUGAUACUGGGUAUCUCGAGUAUGGAAGAGGUGAGUGGAAUUACCGAGUGUAGAGGUGAAAUUCGUAGAUAUUCGGAGGAACACCAGUGGCGAAGGCGGCUCACUGGUCCAUUACUGACGCUGAGGUGCGAAAGCCAGGGAGCGAAACGGG
rnacentral:rRNA from 1 species